CUUUCCUCUUUGCUCCCUUGCUCUCCUUCUCCCCAUGGUAAAGAUGUGCUUGCUUCCCCUUCAUCUUCUGCCAUGAGCGUAAGUUUCCUGAGGCUUUCCAGCCAUGCUUCCUGUACAGCCUGUGGAACUAAGGUGACUACUUGGAACGUUGACUUGAGAAUUUAGAAGCCGAAUCAAUGCUCCACGGAGAAGCAUGCUGGGAUUGAUUUGUGAUGUCUGCCACGAAUAUAAGAUUGGCCAUUUGGGGCAUGAAUGCUAUUCAUGGAUUGGAUCUCCUAAGAGCCCGAAUUUCUGAGAAACCACUGAAGACCUGACCCCAGCGCUUAAUUAUUUCUCCUUUCCAAGCAUCUCUCAUGGAAGGCAUCUUGGAUGAAAAGACCUUUGGCAGCGUGGGUUUUGCAGGAAAGUCACAAAUCACUACAUAAGGACCUGCUGUAACCAGUCUGACCUCAUCUUGAUUACAGCUGCAAAGACCCUAUUUCCAAAUAGAGCCACAUUCUGAGGAUCCAGGGUGACAAAUUUUGGGAGGAUAAUAUUCCAUCUGGCACAGAAGGGAAAAGGGAAGUUUUUGUCUGAAGAAGGGGCUUGUCUGGAGUUGCUGGAGAGCCAGUGGGAUUGCAUCUUUUGCAGAGGACAGGUCCUUAAGGGCAAAAUCGCUUAAGAGUCAAAAUGGCCUUGAAAAUUCCUUGGGAAGCCGUCAUGUUGGAGCCAACCACUAUUUCUCAAUAAUUUCAGCACAGCCAGUUUUUCCUCCUGCGUUGGGACGGAUCGCUGUUUCUCCUGUCAAGCUCCAGAUACAGUAAAGUCUUGUGUUUAGGGGCCACACAGUGGAGUGGGACACUCACAGGCAGAGGGAGGAACCAGGUGCUCCUACUCAGAGACACGUGGGACCCAACGGGAGGGUUUGGCUUGGAAGAGACACCUUCAAAGUGAGUGGUGUGGGGAUUUCCCCAUCAUAUAAUGUCCCCUUUGGGGUGUGAGGGGCAAAUGUGUUUAGUUAAGUGGAUCUUAACUCAGUUAAAUUAAAUUCAUGUAUGAUGUGAGACCAGCGUGGAAAGGUCUUACCUCUUGAUUAACCAAUUGUUCUUCCCCAGUCACUCCAUUGCUCCUCUUUGAGCCAUCCAAAAAGUCACCUCAUCUUUCCAGACCUCAGGGUCCUCAUCUGUAAAUUGGGGGGCAUGUGGACUUGGACAGAAUGGGCCCUCUCUGUCACUUGGAGAGUCUGGGAUUGUAAGCUGCCCUCCGGGAGAUCAAAACACCACACGAUGCAGGUGGCACUGGACAGACGCGGGACACAGGGGCUCUGCUAAGGUCCCUGGUGCUACAGAAGAGGACGGUGAUCACCAGGCCCAGGAAGGAGGGUUGCUGGGAAUGAAGAUCGCAGCCACGCUGCACGAUGCAAGGCUAAGGUGCACGCAGUGCGCUGUGGCUUCAGGUCCCGAAAGCACAGGCCUGGGACAGCUUUUCCAGAUGGCAAGUCUGCUUUCUCCCAGCCCCAACAUGCCUUUCUGAAAUGUAAAGCAGCCCAGUCCUGGCCUCAGAAUGCUGGGGUGAACAACUGGAGAACGGGGUUCCAGCCACUGCAGAUGAAUCCAGAGGCACUAGAAACACAGAGAGAGCAAGAAGGAAAGGGAGGGGACACGAGG
rnacentral:lncRNA from 10 species